rnacentral:lncRNA from 1 species
CUUAUCUACUCAUUAGAAAUUAAUGCUUUGUACAGUGGAUAAAAGCAAGAACCAUGGAACGAAGUCCGCUGUGAUGCCAGCGGUUAAUGUUGUGUUGUGGGGUGUAGUGGUGUGGCUGGGCCGCUGAUGCAGUGGUGGUCUCCAGAGGUUAUGGUAUGCCAUGUGUGACAAACAUAGUUGAAGGAAAAAUCUUGAUCAAGACAUUCGAUCGAACACCUUCUUGGCAUCAUUGGAAUAAACUUUCCUAGAGAGAUUGGAGAGAUUGCGUCCUUGUUAGACCACGAACAAAAGAUAUAUUUUCUUCCGAGUUUAUCAAGUUCGGUUGAAGAAAUUGCUUGAGAAGAUUCUUUUUUUUUUGUUGAAAAUAUAUAUAUUUUGUAUUUCAUUGUUGUGGCUGAUGGCUGAUUCGUUUUUUGUCAAAUGUUCCACUUUUGAUGCAAAGAGUAAUAAUGAGUUCCUAUUGUUGAAAAGAGGAAACUUAAUACUUUUGAAUUUGAUGCGAGAAUCUGUAGAAUGAUUUGUACAGCGAGGUUGGUUUUGAGAUAUUUUAGUUUUGUAACUGUACGUGGUGGAAAAGAGAUUUGAUUGUGAAGUUCCAUUACCCUCUUUAUUAUUCUUGGUCGCCACUUUAUGCCACUUCGCCUCAGCCUGAAUAUUGCAG